CAAAGCCAAAAAUGUAACAUGUGAACAUGAUGAAGACUCGUCUGAGAGUGCCUUCGUCGCCAGAGAGGCAAAUCAGGAUAAGAUGACACAACAGGUAGAGUGGUUGAUCGACUCUGGAGCUUCAAAGCACAUGACGUGUCAUGAAGAAAUUCUUCAAGACUACCAGAAAUUUCCAAAAACACAGUCUGUGAAACUUGGUGAUGGCAGAGUGGUUGACGCUCUAGGACUUGGUAAUGUUAAACUGAGAAUGGCAUUAAAAAUCAGUGAUGUAAAAAAUGUCACAAUGUUUGAUGUGCUGUAUGUUCCCAAGUUAUCCGGGAAUCUCUUCUCAGUGGGAGCUGCUGUAAAAAAAGGAAAUACGGUGCAGUUCAAGAAGUCUCGCUGUUACAUCCGUGAUAAAAAUGGAAAUCUCAGAGGAAUGGGAACACAAAGAUCUGAUGGAUUGUAUCAGCUGGAUGUUGAGGGAAGUUCGCCCACCUGUCACUGUGCAUCAAGUGCAUUAGUAGCAACCAGCUUGUGGCAUCAGCGACUGGGUCACACCACUAAGUUGAAGGAACUUAAAAAACUGGUGAAUGGAGUGGACUAUCCUGCAGAGAAAGAAGUUCCAUUCUGUGAAGCAUGUGUGGAAGGCAAGCUGUCUAGAAAGCCACAUAAGCCAGUGGGAGAAAUCCGUUCCAAACGUAAACUACAGUUGGUUCAUAGUGACGUCUGCGGCCCCAUGCAGACUGAAUCUAUAGGUGGAUCAAAGUACUUUGUGACUUUUAUUGAUGACUAUUCUAGAUGUUGCAAGGUGUACUUUAUGAAACAGAAGAGUGAAGUUCUUUGCAAAUUCAAGGAAUUUGAGAAAAUAUUAUCCAAUGAGUGCGGACAGAAAAUAGCAAGACUCAGAACGGAUAAUGGUGGGGAAUACACAUCCAAAGAAUUUCAAGAAUACUUGAAGGCUCAAGGUAUCCACCAUGAGACAACUGUACCUCACACACCUCAGCAAAAUGGUGUUGCAGAAAGAAAAAAUAGGACAUUAAUUGAAGCAGCGAGAACCAUGCUCUCUCACGCUAAAUUAACAAAGUCUUACUGGGCAGAGGCUGUAGCAACCGCAGCUUACAUACAGAACAGACUCCCCACAUCUGUUCUGAAACAAGUGACGCCCUACCAGAAAUGGUGCGACAAACAGCCAAAUGUG
ensembl:lncRNA